GGGGGUAUAGCCUAUGGGUAGAGCAUUCGACUGCAGAUCGAGAGGUCUCCCCGGUUCAAACCUGGGUGCCCCCC